AUUCUACUCUUCUAUGUACCAAAAGCAAUCAUAUCCCUACAAGAUUUAUUUAAGAAAACAUCAGAAAAAGUAAUUUACUUAAUUUUUCAGUUAAUUAGCAAUAUGAAUGCAAAGCCUCCACUUUCUAGCCAAAGGAAGAUUAUGUAACUAUAUUAAUCCGCCUCCCAGGCUCACGCCAUUCUUCUGCCUCAGUCUCCCUAGAAGCUGGAACUAUAGGCGCCCGCCACUGAACCAUGAAAUAAGAAAAAUAAAGUGAAAAUUAUUUUCUUUUGUAAAACAGAAGAUGGAGGAAAAUCAAUCCUAGUUUCAGCGAGGUUUUGCAGUGCAUGUGCAGGCUACGUUAAUGUCACCCAGGAGCUUGAUUGACAGAUGCUCAAAUGCCCAGCCCUAUCCCUGCCCCAUCUACUGAGGAACAUGGAUGAACUCAUAAGUCAAAAUUUUGCCAGAGGGGAACAGGCACCUCUGCUCACCUCUAUUUUCAUUCCUAGCAGGAUUAAAUUCAUAUUGUAUUUGCUGAGCAGCCCAGGUGUUUAAGAAAAAGUUGUCAUUCAGAUUGAUGGUACUUUAAAAAAAAUCCUUCUUUCCUUCCUUUCUUUCUUUCCUUCCUUCCUUCCUUCCUUCCUUCCUUCCUUCCUUCCUUCCUUCUUUCUUUCUUUCUUUCUUUCUUUCUUUCUUUCUUUCUUUCUUUCUUUCUUUCUUUCUUUCUUUCAUUUGUGGCCUGAUGCACCAUGUCUGCUACUUCCUGUGACUGGGUAUGUCUCUCUGCAAGCAUGGUAUGCUGCCCACUUUGGGGUGAGCAUUUCACUCAGAGACAUCUAUGUGGUUCCUGGUGUUGCAGUAUGUACAUAUAGAUCUAUGUAUGUUAAGCACUUGAGUGUUGUUUUCUCCUGUUUCCAUUCCCUUAUCUCCAGACUAUUUCUCAUUGUAAAGAGGAUAGUUUGCAGGACAUUAGGAAAAUAUGGGAUUCCUCUUCUGAACCUUCCCUUCUGCUUUUCUGCAGUAGGAAACUUUACUCAUCUCCUCCCCGCCUCACCCACCAAGGAUGUGCCCAGUUUUCCCCUGGACUGUCCACCUUCUCCAAAUGGUAGUUGCUGCAGUCUACUUAAAAUCUGGAACUGUAUACCCUGGCUCUCAAUGUUUUUCCUCCAUUGGGUCAAGGUUCACCAUAUUUGGAUGUAUUGUUCAAAUGCUGUACUUUGGAGGUUUAGCCACUUCCUUAUUUCUUGAAGAUGUGGGUUUGUAGUUCUUGUUCUCUUUGUUGAUAACUGUGGGUUUCAGAGAAGGGAACAGAAGAAAGAGCAUGCUAUUUCUUACCAGAAGCAUUCCAGUUGUUUUUUUUUUAAGCUAAUAAAUCACUGUCAUUACGCUUGACUACACUCUUAGUCUCUGGUCACAUGUCACGUGGGAUGGCAUCUGUGAACUCUGAGGUGUUCAUGAGUUGCUUAGCAACCAGAAGUUCUUUUAUUCCUCCCAACAGCCUGCCCCAACCCUAUCCCUACAUGGCCCAGCCCACCCUGCCUUAAAAUAGAACGUGUGGUACCAUGAGUCACUUGAAAAAUAGUUCUCUCACUAAGAGAAAGCCCUCGGCUUCCAAAGGGUAGCGCUAAUCAAGAGGAGAUUGAGAGGGGGAUGUGUUAAAUAGGAGGAGGAAAAGACACCAAUAUUGACAGUAGAUAUAAAAUGAACUAUUAAUAAAUUAAGGAAAUUUAUAUAGGUCAGCAAGACCUUGGAAGAAAGGCAAGACAAGAAGGUGGAAACAGAAUAUAUGUAUUCUUUUUUGUCACAAAAGUGAGAUGAUCAUAGCACAUAUUUGGAGUUUCUGCACACAAAGCAGAGUCCAGAUGAGAGGAAGCUGCAUAUGCCCAGACACUCUUGGUUGCCUUAAUCACACAAUUUUCCAUACAUUAAAAAUACUAAAAAGAGAAAAAGUACAUGUAAAUGAGGUAAAUAGCAAAUGGGAGGUGGAGAAUCACACAGUCUAGCCAGCUCACUUUGGGGUAAGGACUGGAGGGGGUUUGUGCCCAGAGAUGAUGCCACGAGGGCCAACUUUGACCUGUGUUUAAAUGGAUCAGGUGGGGUCUGUGCACACAGGGGCUUCUAGGACCAUGCAGAUGGUGCAGGAAGCCUGAGGCAAAGCAGUGGCAUGAGUUUGUGGUCCUGGCGCCCUCUCCGUGCUUUCUGAAUAUAUCAGUCUGCUCUGUAGGCACAGUGGGAGUAGGACAGGGACUCACUAGAAAUGUUUAUGCCCCAGAAGUGGCUAUUAAUAGAAAGGAAUGGAAAUAAGAGCACUUGGGUGAGAACAUUGUAUUUUUAAAAUGUAUAAUCAUUUUAUAUGCUAUUUUAUACAUAAUAAGCAACACGUUUUCCAGAUAUAAAAGUAGCUUGAUUCUCAGGCAUCAGAUAACUUCUACAUGGGAUAUGCCAAGGUUAAGAAAUAAAUCUUUUUUGUUUCCAAAUUAAUAAACAUUUUUGUGAGACUUAUAUAAAACCUGCAAAAUAAAAACCAACAACAAUGCACAUGGGAGGUAGAAAAAUUUUAAUAACUAGUGCUAUUCAAAGGGAAAUAGUAUCUAUAUAUAAUUAACAAAAAUAUAUUUAAUAGUUAUAUUAAAAGUACUCUUAUGUGUGAGACUUUAAUAUUAGCAAUUUUCUAAAUAGCAAUAAUCGGAUGAUUUAUUAAGUGUGAAUUAUAGGUGAAAUUAUCAACAUCUCUCAAAUCAGGCAGGAUAAAUCAAAUUUUAAUUAAGCUCAUUGUUUCAUUCUAUAAAUUUCUUGUUAAAUUAUUUUUUAGAGAUGGAUGUCUCACUACAUUGUCUAUACUGGUCUCAAACUCCUGGCCUCAAGUGAUCCUCCUAUCCUAGCUGUUCCUGUAGCUGGGACUACAGGCAGGUGCCACCUCUCCCAAAUUUCACACACAUUUUUAAGACUGCAACAUACUUCUUGGUGAUAAACCUAAACUAAAAACAGAAAUCUUGCCCAUUCUGUUUGCAAACAUCUAUCUCCAAAGUGAGUGAAAUUUCUGUACAUCUGUUUCACAAGUCGUGGGGACUUCCCGCAGUUGUCUGAUUCACAAAUUUAACUUCUUUUUAGUUAAAAAAGUUUCGCUCUUGUUGCGUAGGCUGGAGUGCAAUGGCACAAUCUUGGCUCACUGCAAACUCAGCAUCCCAGGUUCAUGUGAUUCUCCUGCCUCAGCCUCCCAAGUAGCUGGGAUUACAGGCACCCGCCACCACACCCAGAUAAUUUUUGUAUUUUUAGUAGAGAUGGGGUUUCACCACAUUGGCCAGCCUGGUCUCGAACUCCUGAUCUCAGGUGGUCUGCCCGCCUCGGCCUCCUAAAGUGUUGGGAUUACAGGCGUGAGCCACCACGUCCAGCCUGUGAUUUUAAAUAUUAGCACUAUCCCAGCCUGUGAUUUUAAAUAUUAGCACUAUCCCAGCCUGUGAUUUUAAAUAUUAGCACUAUCCCAGCCUGUGAUUUUAAAUAUUAGCAAUAUCCAAAUAUUAGCACUAUCCAAAUGCUUUUUGGAAAAAUUACUGUGAACAGAUUCUAGCAGUCUUCAUAUCUGAAGUACUUCUAAUCUAUCAAGAAGGCCACAUAUGCACUCAUAAAAUGACUUUCAAAAUAACCAAACUAUGUUUUUAAAUAUGACCCCUGAAAAAAUCAUUUUAUAUUAUUUGUAUAUAGAUUACUUUUCUUCUUUGCCUACUAUUUCCAUUUCUGCUGCUUCACCAAAACCAACACCAAUUCACUAUUCUUCAUUUUUUUUUUUGUUCUCUAGAGGAUUUUUUAUUCUGAAUGAUCUGAAUACUCAUUUUAUCCUUUUACCCUGCCUGCAUUUGUCCCCUCCCCCCACCAAAAUAAUGCCAGCUUCAAAAUAAAUGUAUGAGGUUAAAAGUCAAGACAGUCAUAUGGGAUGGAAGGUGGGGGAUGGCAGCCUAAAAAGGGGCCCAAUGGCAAGGUUCUGAGAUGCUGGUAAUGUUCAGUGACUUGAUAUGGGUGGAUGGGUAUUUUCUGUUUGUGAAAAUGUAUCAGUAUAUUUGAACAUAAUUCAUUUACCUUUAUGUACAUUCAAAACAUUAACUUAAAGAAGAAAAUUAGUUCAUUUGAUCAUCCUUAAACUUUCAUGUACUCCAUUUCUCCUCUCAGUCUAUCUUUCCAGUUUGCUUACGAACUUAGCAAAUAAAAAAAUACUGAAUUCAUUAUAAACAAUCUGAGGCAAUCAUUAUUUUUAUAAUUGAUUUCUUCCAUUUCUACAGUCACAAUUACAUUUUUACCCAGGUAGGCAAUAUAUUUUUCAAGCAGAAGUAAUUUAUCCUAGAGCUUCUCCCAUUGAUCAUCUUCCCAACAUGCUGCCAUGUCAUGUGGUCUAAUUCGAUGGUCUAAGAAACCAUCCAGUGAGGCUGCAUUUGAAUUUGCGUGGCAGAUGAUAGACACUAGAGCACUGGAACACAGUAAUGACUCCCAUAAUUAAUACCAUUCAAAAGAAGUCACAUGGGUGGUGUCAUGUCCUUCCUAUCAAACAUAAUCAAUAGUCCUCAGCCACCGUAGAUGAUUCAUCCUGGUGCUUCUUCAUAUCAGAAAAAAAUUGGAAAAGUAACUAAAGAUGCAAUUUUGUUAGGAAGUCUCUUACAAAUCCAUAUGUAUUUGCUAUACUUCUGUGUGUACACACACACACCAUACAUGCAUGCACACGCACAUAAUGUCCACACACAGACAUGCAUGCACACACACAAACAUGUACAGCAUACACGCAUGUGCACACACUCCAUUUCUUUUUUGGAAAAGCCAUAAUAUUACAAGCAGCUAGGACAAACUGUGUGACAAAUUAGAUAAUAAUAGAUAAAAUAAUUAGAAUGACUAAGCUAUUCAGUCCUAAAUAACCACAUUUUGUAUGGCAUUUUCUUCUAUUACUUUAAUAAUAUUCUGAUGAAGAGAAAAUAUUCAGGCCAAGUAACAUUUCAGUGGAAAUAGAAUAAAUGAUCCAUGGGAAAGAAACCUGUCAUAUAUCUGCCCCACAGUAAAGAUGGACUGAAUUUAACAAGGAUAAGCAUUU
rnacentral:lncRNA from 1 species